rnacentral:lncRNA from 1 species
AUUGUGAUGCCAAUGCUCUCUGCUUGAAAGUGAGAGACUGGCCAUUGUGACUUCAUGCUGAUGCCACCUGCCUGAAGGAAAGAAGACUGACCUAACCCUGAUGUUACUUGCCUGAUGAUGUGAAAUUAGCUAUUUUGCUCUCAUAGUGAUGUGGCUUGCCUGAAGGAAAGAGACUGACUGAUCAUGUCCUUUUGCAGAUGUGCUUACCCACAUUGACCUCAUAUUGGUAUUACCACCUUGAAGAGAAAGACCAGCCACAGUGACCUCAGUGUUUAUCGGUGAUGUUGUUCUCCCAGCCUUUAUGCCUUCCUACGUACUGUCAAUGACUUUCAUGACAAAAGUAUCCUUUGCAUCCAGAUACGCAAGUAUUUGUCAAAGUAAGUUGCCAGAACAAAAACUGCUUCAGAGAGAGACAAGCGUGCCGUCCCUCUCAGCCCCACCAAUCAAAACCAAAUCUAUCAAUUGGUUGAUUAAGCCCUGAAGUUUGACAAAUCUACCAGUUGAGCUGAAUAAACCUUGAAGCUAUACCUAUAAUAAAUAUAAA